UGAGGGCUGGAGUGCGUGUCAGAGGCGCGUUUACAAAGCUGCAGUUCGAAAUCCUGUAAAUGCACUAUCUGGUACGACAUUCCAGUACAG
rnacentral:pre_miRNA from 1 species